UAAAGGGGUUUUGCUUUGUCUCGGUGAGGUACCACCGAUAUCGGUCCAUCAAAGCUAGUUGCAAAUGACAACAAAGCUCCAAUGGCGAUGGCUGCGUAAGCAGUCGGAACUAUUGAAAUCUAAGUCCUUAGGCUUUGCAGCUUAAGGCGGGGUUCGCAGGCACCUGGCAACAGAAGCCUGCACU
rnacentral:tmRNA from 1 species